rnacentral:rRNA from 1 species
UACGGGGGGAGCAAGCGUUGUUCGGAUUUACUGGGCGUAAAGGGCGCGUAGGCGGCGUGACAAGUCACUUGUGAAAUCUCCGGGCUUAACUCGGAACGGUCAAGUGAUACUGUCGUGCUAGAGUACAGAAGGGGCAACUGGAAUUCUCGGUGUAGCGGUGAAAUGCGUAGAUAUCGAGAGGAACACCUGCGGCGAAGGCGGGUAGCUGGGCCGACACUGACGCUGAUGCGCGAAAGCCAGGGGAGCGAACGGG